rnacentral:rRNA from 1 species
CCCUUAGAUGUCCUGGGCCGCACGCGUGCUACACUGACGCAUACAGCGAGUACUUUCUGGGUCCGAAAGGUCUCCCAGUAAUCAGCAAUAUGCGUCGUGAUGGGGAUAGUACUUUGGAAUUCUUGUACUUGAACGAGGAAUGCCUAGUAAGCGCAAGUCAUUAGCUUGCACUGAUUAAGUCCCUGCCCUUUGUACACACCGCCCGUCGCUCCUACCGAUUGAAUGGUCCGGUGAAGCGUUCGGACCGUGGCCUUUGGACGGUUCGCCGUCUGUUGGCUGCGGGAAGUUCGUUAAACCUUAUCAUUUAGAGGAAGGAGAAGUCGUAACA